rnacentral:rRNA from 1 species
UACGUGAGGGGCGAACGUUGUUCGGUGUCACUGGGCUUAAAGGGUGCGUAGGUGGUUGCGUAAGUAACGUGUGAAAGCCCUCGGCUUACCCGGGGAAUUGCGCGUUAUACUGCGUGACUUGAGGAUUUCAGGGGAAAGGGGAACUCCAGGUGUAGCGGUGAAAUGCGCAGAUAUCGUUUGGAACGCCAAUGGUGAAAACAGGUUGCUGGGAGUGUGCUGACGCUGAGACACGAAAGCCAGGGGAGCGAACGGG